rnacentral:rRNA from 1 species
UACAGAGGUCUCAAGCGUUGUUCGGAUUCAUUGGGCGUAAAGGGUGCGUAGGCGGCGGGGCAAGUCUGGUGUGAAAUCCCGGGGCUCAACUCCGGAACUGCACUGGAUACUGCCUUGCUAGAGUACUGGAGAGGGAACUGGAAUUUACGGUGUAGCAGUGAAAUGCGUAGAGAUCGUAAGGAAGACCAGUGGCGAAGGCGAGUUCCUGGACAGUAACUGACGCUGAGGCACGAAGGCUGGGGGAGCAAACGGG